rnacentral:lncRNA from 1 species
AGCUUCUCUGCGAAACUUCGACAAUUUUAUAAUUCACCAACUUUAACUUAAUCACUCGGAAGAAAAUGUAAUUUCCUGGCAACUAAACGAAAACGUUAGCAACUUGCGAUUCAAAAUUCUUCGCGAGAAAACAAACUCGUGUGAAUUAACUUUUGUUUCACCCUUCCAAAUCCCUUCAUGCACUUCCUUUCGGAUUUUCCGAACUUCGAAACGGAAGCUCGUAGGCGCGAAAAAGAAAGAGAACCCCCUUUAGUUCCGUGACCAGUUAAGGGACUCGCGGGAUGGAUAAUCUCUUCGGAUCUUCGCACGCCGAAUUUUAACCAGCCAUCCUUAAUCCGGUAGCUACCUACUCGUUGAGUAGGUUGCGUCUGUUUCGGGACGUGACCGGAACCCUGCGCAGAGCCGACGAAGAGAGGUAAGCGCAGCUUCGCCGCCGGUUAGAUACCUGCUUUUCGACCAACCGGCGCACUUGGUAAAAUAAUACGAAUAAUUUUCAACGAGAACUGAAGAGAGUUGAGACGAGAAG